rnacentral:lncRNA from 1 species
UUUGUAUAAAAGGCUAUGCGGAAGCUUGCAUAUCGCGUAUUGGAGUCUUACACUUCGCAGACUACAUCGUAAUAUUGUCAAAAAUGACAAAAAAUUUACUGUUUAUUUUAAGCUUUGCCGUUAUCUGCAUUGUCGUGACUAAAGCGCAAAUCCCAAAUUGUACGCCCCAAAUCAUACCCUUACGUCGUGGUCAACGCUACUGCCAAGUGAACUGUCCACCGAGAUUGCCUCGCUUUCUUUGUGUGACUGCCACGAAGGACAUUCGAUUGCCAGUAUGCCGACACGGCUGUUGCCGUUCUGGGAACAAAUGUGUUCCAGAGAAAAGACCUGGAUAAACGGUGUUCAGCUCGAGUGUUGAAUAAAUGAAUUAUAAUAAAAAUAUUUUUGUUUAAAAGGAAUUAAAAUAUGUUUGACAGCAACUCGAAUUGAUUUAAAGUUUU